ensembl:lncRNA
CUUUCUGUACGGUUUCAGGUAGUCCCUCAUCAUCACCACCUCACCACAGGGACAGCUGCUGAUCUUUAACCCCAUUCUCCGUAGCCUGCUAUGAGCAGUGACUUGGAGACUCAGUGACUUUAGGAGCUUCAUCUCCCAAGGAGACAAACCUUCUGUGACUCUGUGGAGAACCAGCCAUUUCCUCUCCUGAUGACUUUUGGAUCCCUUGGCCAAUUUUAAUCAAACUUGACAGAGGAGCGAGUACACAGAGUACAAACUCUGUAGAAGUCAAGAACUGCAAAGAGGAGGGAAAGAAAACAUUUCCAGUGUAGGAAAGACCAGAACACAAGGAAAUUGCAACGUGGUCUGGGAGGCUGCCCACUAGCCAAGCCAUCAUGUGCGCAUGCAGCACAUCCCUGGCUCAAGAAACAGAAAGGAGCUUCUCUUUAUCCCCAGUGUUGUUAGAGGACAACACUGUACAUCUGAAUGCAAACAAGUGGAAAUUUGCAUGGAACUCUACUGGGUGAGUGGAGGAAAAGUAACUCUGGGUGGUUUUCUGCAGCUUACUGGGCUGGAAACAGUGCAGAAUAUCUGGCUACAGCCUGCCAGAAAGUAUAUGACAUGAUCACAGACUGGAAAUAAAUGGUUUGUCGGCCUGUACUAAAUGAGGGUAAAGAAAUAGACAAUGGAACCUGCAAGAUAUGUCUGCAAUUAUAUUCCACAUAACACUAAUGUUCAGCUGUAGAAGCUACCUCUUCCUUCCUGUUUUCUCUAUCAAAAGUCUAAGCAAAGGAACUGCCAAAUUUCAUUUAGCUGUUAGAUUGUACAGCUUCCACUGGACUUGUCAGAGAACCUACUGUUUACAUCAGUGCCUGAAAAGCCUUAACACUGAGAACGUCACUGAAAGUUCACUGCUUAGGGCACAGAGUUCUGCAGGAGCUGCAGUGCAAAUUCUUUGAUCCUUGUUCCAAACUACUCAGAGCUUGCUGAUCUUUCAGGAAUAUGACAUUAUUCAUCUUAUUCGUCUUUGGUUCAUCUUGUAUUCAAAAUUUUGGGAACAGAGGAGAAGAGUGGUUUUCAUUUCUAGCAAAAGGAUUGCCUAGCUUGAAUUUUACUUUUAUUUUUGUCUGGUCAUUUGGGUUUUGAUAUGAGAAGACAUUGCAGGAUUUAAAGGGUUGGAAUGGCAAAAACACUCUCUGAUAUCAGUGUUUUCUCAAAAGUUGCUUUGUCUUUUUCCUCUUAAUAUUACAUUUCAGCCUGCGAGCCAGCCUUCCUCCUGCCAACACCUGCUGGAACAUAAAGGAUUCUGAAACAACAACGAUCUGUCAGUUACAAAACAAUAGCUGGACUCUUUUUCACAUCGUUCUUGUACAAAGUUAGCCAUGUUCACCCAGAGACAUUUGAGUAAUAUAAGUCAAAUUAAAUAAAAGGGUGAAAGCAAAUUUAGAGCAAUAGUUAAAGUAAAGUAAAUCUCUGUGAGAUUACUUUUAUUGCAAACUGACUGUUUUUACUUUGUUUCUAUCCCUGCUCCAUUGAGUUUGUUACUUUUUCUAAUAAAUCUUGCCUUUAUUAAGUUUAUUGCUGUACAGAUCAUGUCAUGAAACUAUUUUCCCCAGUGGAACUCUUUUCUCUUCAGAAGAAGAAACACUGGGAGAUAAAACAGUGCCUUGAUCACAUCCUCCUCCUGCUGGUGGUGUUCAUAUUGAUGGGUGUGAUGCAAAUAAGAUGUGUAUUUGAGCAUAAACAUAAUUACAGUAUGUCUUUGUUGCGUGGCUGUCCCAUAACUUUAAAGAAACUUUGCCAAAUACAAUAUACUGCAAAUUUCUGUUACUUCUAUUUGUUUAUACUACUCUUAUUAUUAAAAUAAAUUAUCUUUUCACUUGAAAUGGCGAGUGCUAUUGACUGAGAUCCAUAGGAAUUUUUUUCAUAAGGAUAGGCUAAUCCCGUGGAAGGUGCUUUUUGUAUAGUCUAACUUUUGUCUUCUCAUAAGCAGUCACUUUCC